UGUACAUCCAACCCCUCCAUUCCCCGAAAGGAGGCAAAAAAAUAAAACGUUUUUUGGAGGGAGUGGGAGUGGUCAAAGAUGGGGCAGUGGAGAUGUCCUCAAAUUACCACCAAGGUUAGAGACAGAGGGCUACAGUGCUGGGCUGCUGUCCUGGUACCCCUGCUGCCCUGGGGUUCUGGGGCCCAGUGUGGCUGCUCUCAGGGCUGGAAAUCACCAGGACGUGGGCCUGGGGUUGCAUGUGCCUGCGAUAAAAAGAGGGUCUUGCGUGACCAUCAUUAGCCUAGUCAGGGAGAGGGAGAGGACACCUGAUGGCUCCUUUCAGCAACAGGACAGCCCCUCUGCCUUGGCUCCAGGAGGAACCUUUCCUUCAUUGGUUCCUGGAUCUUUGGUCUCUAAACCCUCAAGGCAAUGACUAGGAACCUUAGGGUGCACCUAGGAGGAUGCCAAGCUCCAGCAGGGGAUGUGAGGAGAAGGAAGGAUUCUUAGGGGUGGAAAGUAGCACUAAGGGACAAUCCCAAUGACCCAAGGUCAAAGCUGGCUGGGGGUGGGUAACUGUCAAGGAGGGCAACUGUUAACGUCUACAAUCCCUUAUCAAAGCACAUAAAGCCAGAUGUGAUUCUGAAUUCAGAAAUUUUCUGAUUUUAGAAAGGUAUUAUGGUGUGUACACCGUACAUUAUGUAACACCCUCACUGGGGUCUGGGGCUGCCUUACAUGAUCAAAUGCAUUCAUGUUUCUGCUGUGCAAUGUAUGGAUAUCCACAGGAAAUGGGACAAAAGCUUCACUUCAGUUCAGAUUAAGCGUUGGUGCCAGAUGAAGAAAAAUUUGGUUUCCAGAUUUUCCUUGGAUUUCAGGAUUGCAGAUAAGGGAUGUCUGCUCACGUAAGUGGAUACGAAUCCCGCGUGACUGAUGGAGAACUGUGGCUGUGGAUCUUAAGGGACUAUGAUCCUACUUGGGCCUCUCUCUUGCCUUUUCUUCUCAAAGUUGCUGAAGCUCCUCAAUUUUAGCAAAUCCAUUUGGUACCAGUUUGCAAGGUCGGGAGGGCAGCUGAAAACAGCAGACGGGGAGGAAUUGUGGACUCAACUCUUUCUUGGCUGCCAUAGCUUCCAGGAACAUUAAAUACUUGAAGAUCUGCCCCCAAAACUCUGCUGUGAAUGUCAGAGACAGACACAGAGAGCGUCCUGAAUGGCCCCACCCCCUUUUUUUGGAGGAAGAUUAGCCCUGAGCUAACAUCUGCUGCCAAUCCUCCUCUUUUUGCUGAGGAAGACUGGCCCUGACCUGAGCUAACAUCCAUGCCCAUCUUCCUCUACUUUAUAUGUGGGACGCCUGCCACAGCAUGGCUUUUGCCCAGCAGUGCCACGUCCGCACCCGGGAGCUGAACCAGCGAACCCCAGACCACCGAAGCAGAAUGUGCGCACUUAACUGCUGCGCCACAGGCCGGCCCCAAGAAUGGCCCCUCUUGAGCCAAUUGACUCCACCCAAUGCAACGCUAGGCAAUUUUUAUAAAGACUGAGGCAGCCCUGUGUGUUUUGAUUUGGAGUGAUGUUAAGAUACAUUGUUAAAAGGGGACAGCCCCCCUCCGAUAGCUCUGGGAAACUAAGUUUAGGUAUGAGUUAAACUCACACCAGUGGUUACCCCUGGGAGAGGAGAGGCUGGCUGGGUAAGGGGAGGGAGGGAGACCCACUCUUCAUUGCUCAUCCCUUUAUACCAUUUGAAAUGUGUGCCAUAUGCCUAGAUUAAUAAAAUUUAAUUGAAAAACAAAAGUCAACGAGCUAUUGUCUUUAUCAUUCAAAGGUAUGUCUUUUAUCUUAAACUCUGAAUUAACAAGACAGCAGAGAGAAUUCAGGCAGCUUGGAAGGCACUUCCAGGGUUUGGUGCAGGACGGUGAAAAUUAUUCAAGUUCUGUUAAGUCCAAAAUACACAUGAGCUGC
rnacentral:lncRNA from 1 species